AGCACCGAAAAAUGAAACACAAACGUAGCAGGGUGAAACACCAAACAAAAGUGCAUCUGGGGUUGGCUUUUGCUUUCACUUGCAAAUGUGUUUACAAAGAGUAACCGACAAUCCUGCAUCGUAUACCUUUAACAAAACUACUUGUCGUCAAAGACAAAAACUGACCUGUUUUUUCUCUUCAAAUUGCAGCGUUUGUUUCUUUUAUCAGUGCGUCUCUUAGGUGAAGGACAGAUCAGAUAGCAGUAUUGUUGGCCAUGUGUAAACUUAAAGUCUUGGAUUAGCUAACACAAUAUUUAGAGUCUGUUUUAUUAAAGGAUCCACACUGAGGCGCAUGUGUGCUGCUUUGUAUAAACAGGUGGUGAUGAUGAGUUGUGAUGCGUUUGACCGUGUGUUUCACUUAGGUGUGGUUUGCGCACUAAACACACACACACACACACACACACACACACACAAACACACACUCUGAUUACUUCAAUGACUUUGUGUUUGUGGUUGUGUUGGGGUUUCUUUUCACCUCAGGAAAAAUGGACAAACGAGAACAAGACUGGAGGUUUUGGUUUUUAACUGAAGUCUGGUUGAUUUUCAAAGUGUUUAUUUUUCAUUUUGCGCGGCGUAUCUGUGUCUAAAUGCACACAAGUACGGUGACUGUGUGCUGUAACUGACCAGAGGGCAGGCGCAGCCGAAAGCCGUGUGUGUGUCCUGUUAUCAGAACAAAUGCACAUGGUGGCCCCUAGCGUAACAAGAAGCAAACAGCAACUUGGGGUAAAAAAAAAAAGCAGUAAAAGAGAAGAUCAAAUUAACACUUUGACUUUAUUUUAAUGUAGGACAUUUUACUUUUUAUGUUACUCCUUCACUGUCCAUUCUACUGUAAUUACUGCCUUAUAAUAGAGGAGUUGUGGGUAGAAGAAAUGCAGUGUGGAAACUUGGGACAUUACUGAUGUAUAGUGUCCUUUGGUUUCAGAAAUACUUUUUAGGACUCUUUGGGGUUUGCAUAUAAGGGUUUACUGUACGUAAUAUGGCACCUCAGUUACUUUUGAUCCAAAGUCACAGUUGAUUUAUACUUGAGCCAUGACUUAACUGAGCAUCCGUGUCUUUGAAACGAGCCUUCCUACAAGACUGGAUUCAAUCGUGAUUAGUUGCUGCGAGGCUUUUCUCGCCUGCUGCAGCAAACUGAUUAGAAGUUUAGCAUCAUGUUUUAGCAGUAUAUCCUCAAUAAAGCAAUAUAUCAAUAUAUUUAUAUAUUCUUAGAAGGUCACGCCAGCUGGAUUAAGGACACUUGAGGUGUUUAAAAUAGAUUUUAUGAUUGUUUAACUUUGUAUUUUGUAACCGUUGAGCUCAGUAUGUUUUGCUUAAUAUUUUUCUGACUUGUCUAAUGGAUUAUUUCUGUUGAUUGUCACUGACUCUUGAUUAUCUUGACUUGAUUAAAUGUUAUGUUACAGUUCACAGGAGGCAAGCGAGGAACCUGACAUGCUGCGUGUGAAGCAGCGUUAAGCAAAUGGGCAUAUUAUUAUGCCACAUGAGACUGUCUGGAUGAAAACGAACUUUGCCCUGUCUAAUUUUUUAGCUAAAAUGCAAAUGUGACAAGGGUUUUCAUUCACACCUCAGCUGGAAUCCUGAAUUUAGACUGUUAGACUUCAUCACUCCACGUCAUCCAAAUGAAGCGCCAGGUAGAUUAAACUCUCCAUCCACCUCUCAUAGUAAUAACUCAACACCCUGCAUACCACAUCACACAUUUCAGGUGAUCGAUAGCUUUGGUGUUAUGUAACAACUUGGAUUAAUCACCCAAAUCCAGGUUGCUGCAUGCAGCUACAGACUGUUGACUUGUUUGUCUGCUUUGAGGGAAAAUGCUAAUGAGCCAAAGAGGCCCACCACUAAAAUUAACAUGAAGGCGAAUGGUGUGAUGCCUUAACGAAGAUGUCUUUUCAUGAAUAUUUCAGCUAAAGAGAGUAAAUCUUCACCGCCUGGUUUGCUUUUUCUACUUUUCGGAGCAGUACAUCUCACAACAUAGCAAGAAAGUAAUUCACUCAGACCCACAGGAAAUGUCUUCCAUCGCUCUAAACGCCUUUAUAAUAACCCUAAUCCUCAUAAUAAUAACAAAUGUCAGCAGCUUCUUGUCCAGGUUUUGUCCUCAUUGAGUUUAUUUUGCAUCUUCAAGAAACAUUUCAGAGGACUGUAUGUUGCACCAUGAAGCAUCUUGUUUGACAUGUUAUGUGGUCUCCAGCAAUAACGCAGUGUGGUACCCAACAUGAAGAUGUUGCUCUGGGUUGUUGUAUGGUUUGGUCCUUGGGUGAGCAUAAACUGUUGACUGAUUACCGCAUAUACUGUGUUAGCUUCCUAUAGUGAUCUACUGUACAUGUAAUUGGAAUAAAAGGAAGGACUGUCUAGUC